rnacentral:tRNA from 1 species
GGGCCGGUAGCUCAGCCUGGUGGAGGAACCUAUCCGCCAACAGCACCGGGCUCUUAACCCGGGGGUCCCGGGUUCAAAUCCCGGCCGGCCCG